rnacentral:rRNA from 1 species
UAGGAUUAGAUACCCUAUUAUUAUAAAUAUAGUUUGUUAGCUUAAUUAGUAUUAGAUAAGUUCUUGAAAAUUAAAAAUUUUGGCGGUAUUUUAGUCUUUUCAGAGGAACCUGCCCUAUAAUCGAUAACCCACGAUUAAUUGAACUUAUUUUAAAUAGUUUAUAUACCGUUGUAGUGGAGUAUUUUAUGAGAAGUUAAAUAUUCUAAAUUUAUUAUAUUAUAAUAAAUCAAAUCAAGGCAUAGCUUAUAAAUAAGAAGAGGUGGGUUACAAUAAAAUUAUUUAUUANGGAAAUUUAAAAUGUAAUUAUAAUAUUGAAGGUGGAUUUGAAAGUAAUAA